rnacentral:rRNA from 1 species
GGCCUGGUUGGGUGGUCUUGCCGAAAGGUAAGCACUGCUCUGGUCGGGUCUUUCCUUCUGGGGAACCAGCGUGCUCUUAAUUGAGUGCGCUGGGGAUCCAGGACUUUUACUUUGAAAAAAUUAGAGUGUUUAAAGCAGGCAUACGCUUGAAUACAUUAGCAUGGAAUAACGAAAUAGGAC